GUUCCACAGGUUCCAGUUGACUUCCUCCACACUGAAAGAAAGAGGACACAUGCAUUGACAGUAAUCAGAUCAAUACAGAUCUUGUGGUUUCGGGUGGAAGCCAGUGGGGUCACCUGAAGCACCAGCGUCGAUCAGGCUCCUGCUCCCCGCCUAGAUCCUUCUCUUCCCCGGAGCGCAGCUUUGUCUUCAGACAGCGGGGAAGAAUCCACUCCAUGUCCAAGUUUCCAGAUGCUGGUGCUCUCUACAGACAUCUCCUCCACUCUUUGAUUCAUCAGAGCGAUCACCAUGUUCAGCAUCAAAAUGUAAGUCAUCACUAUAUACAAUAUUAGCAGCACAUAGAAGACCUCUAUAUACUGAAACUGAUCGGUG